rnacentral:rRNA from 1 species
GACGAACGCUGGCGGCGUGCCUAACACAUGCAAGUCGAACGGAAAGGCCCUGCGUUUGUGCGGUGCUCGAGUGGCGAACGGGUGAGUAACACGUGAGUAACCUGUCCCUGACUUUCGGAUAACUUCAGGAAACUGGGGCUCAUAUCGCAUAGGAUCUCUUGCUGCAUGGUGGGCGUUGGAAAGUUUCGGCGGUUGGGGAUGGACUCGCGGCUUAUCAGCUUGUUGGUGGGGUAGUGGCUUACCAAGGCUUUGACGGGUAGCCGGCCUGAGAGGGUAACCGGGCACAAUAGGACUGAGAUACGGCGCAGACUCCUACGGGAGGCAGCAGUGGAGAAUAUUACACAGUGGGGUGGAGCCAGAUGCGACAGCGCCGCGUGCGGGAUGACGGGCUUCGGGUUGUGAACCAAUUUCGCAUGUGACGAAGCGUGAGUGACGGUAAUGGGUAAAGAAGCACCGGCUAACUACGUG